rnacentral:tRNA from 1 species
GGCCCGCUACCUCAACUGGCAGAGCGGCUGACUCUGAAUCAGUAGGCUCCGAGUUCGAGACUCGGGCGGGUCACCA